AAGUCACUGACUUAUUUUGUGGAUGAAUGCUGUUGCUGGAUGUCCUAGCAGAUAUAUUCCUCAUUCUCCACUCAGCUUUCUUCAGCUCUCUCCUCCUGCCCAUGUUAGCCCUACCCACUUCCAUUCACAAAUCCACCUUAUGGAUGGCUUGAAGGGUGCUUGAGGCUCAUACCAAGGGGAAUGAACACAGGCAUCUCCCGGAAGAGAGCAGUCUGUAGAGAGAACAUCUGUAUUCCUGACUCGCAGACAGUGUGUGUCCUUUUAUACAGCAUCAUCAAGUUCACCUUUCUCCAUCUUUCUCACAAAGAAAUCCUAAAAGACAUUGAACAUGCUUAGGUUUAAAAAUGGGAGGGCAUGAUACAGUAGGAAGAGAUGGCAUUUGUCACCCAUCUCCCCACUUUCUAUCGGUGGACAUGGGGCAAAUUUUCUAUCCUCUUUGAGUCUCAAUUCUCUUAUCUGGAAUAUGGGGAUAAUGGUGCCUCUGCUGUGGGGAUUGGUUGAGAAAAUGGACAAAGUGCCUAGCAUGUAAAGCACACAUCAAAUGACAACUCUCUUCUUGCCCCUGGACUAAAGCAGUAAGGAACUGAAGUUCAAGUUCAAGUUCUGCCACUCGCCAGCUGUGACCAGAGCACUUUGCCUCAUUUCAGUGAGCCCUGGGUUCCCAUCUGUGCAUGAGUCUAAGGUGCCAUUUUCUACGAUUCUUGGAUUUAUUUUGUCUACAGGUCCUGCUGACUUCCCCUUCAGAAAAGGACUGAGCAACCUCUCAAGGAUGGUCCUACAGCUUACCUAUGUGACAUUUCUCAGGAUAUUCGAACUGAUAGUUUUUGGAAGGACAGGAGGGCACGAAGAGAGUUUCAGGUAUGUGAGGUUUGCUUCUUAAGCACAUUCUGGCAAACCUCAGGCCACGUUUUACUCUGGGUCUCCAUCAGUGUGCACACAAUAGCAGUGUCCCCUUGACCUGCUGCAAUAUUCGUUUGUGAUGGCCCCUGCCUCUUCAGAGCUGCCGCAGGACCUGCCUCAUUCAGAUGGAAAGCAAAUGGCACUGGAAGAACGUUUCAUCUCCUGCAUCUGUGGGAUCAGCCCCAGUACAGGCAAAAAUCUCAUGCUUUCAUACCAGCCCCUCUGGGGCUUUCAUCUCUGCUCCAAAAAAAUGGACAGCUUCAAAAAUUCAAAAAUCAAUUGGAAUGGAGCCAGCUCUGUCCAGCGGGUUAUUAAUGGCCCUGGAGCUGACUAAUCCUAUUUGCACAGCCUUUUGGUAAACAGCUUCAACAACAACUAGGGUGGAAAAGAAAACACACACCCCAUCCAAUCAAGACAAACUUCAAGUAUUGAUUUCACUGCCUCCUUCUCCCCUGCUGCCACUUUUGAAACAAAUUUAGAGUAUGACACCAGGGUCAUUGAUCAUUGCCAAACCCCCACGUCACCAGGUCCUGACUAUGUUCUGCUGGAAUAGUACAUUGCUUCAUUCUGCUGGAAUAACUUUUCCAAGAUUUCCUGAGGUAGGGAAUAUAAAUUGCUGGAUCCCGGGGAAGACGGCGGGGAAAAGAAUAUCUGGUUGGGCUCAGGUACUCCAGGUAGCUCUUCCUGACUGAUCACUUCUCAGGUGCCGCGUAAGCCUCCACAGGAGCCGUGGGUCCUCCCUGAGCCCUGCAAACAGAUCCCAUUCCUGCCCCAGAGUCUUUACGGAGAGGCUUCCAGGUCUCCAUUAAACUUCUUUCUGCUUUAGCUUCUGUUCUGUUUGUGGGAAAGACAAGGAGAGCCAUGAGAGCUAUUUCAGAGGGACCUUGUCUCAUCAGUCUACACCCUGG
rnacentral:lncRNA from 10 species